rnacentral:rRNA from 1 species
AACGAACGCUGGCGGCAUGCCUAACACAUGCAAGUCGAACGAGACCUUCGGGUCUAGUGGCGCACGGGUGCGUAACGCGUGGGAACCUGCCCUUAGGUUCGGAAUAACUCCCCGACAGGGGUGCUAAUACCGGAUAAUGUCUUCGGACCAAAGAUUUAUCGCCUUUGGAUGGGCCCGCGUUGGAUUAGCUAGUUGGUAGGGUAAAAGCCUACCAAGGCGACGAUCCAUAGCUGGUCUGAGAGGAUGAUCAGCCACACUGGGACUGAGACACGGCCCAGACUCCUACGGGAGGCGGCAGUGGGGAAUAUUGGACAAUGGGCGAAAGCCUGAUCCAGCAAUGCCGCGUGAGUGAUGAAGGCCUUAGGGUUGUAAAGCUCUUUUACCCGGGAUGAUAAUGACAGUACCGGGAGAAUAAGCUCCGGCUAACUCCGUG